rnacentral:rRNA from 1 species
UGGCGGCAGGCCUAACACAUGCAAGUCGGACGGUAGCACAGAGAGCUUGCUCUUGGGUGACGAGUGGCGGACGGGUGAGUAAUGUCUGGGGAUCUGCCCGAUAGAGGGGGAUAACCACUGGAAACGGUGGCUAAUACCGCAUAACGUCGCAAGACCAAAGAGGGGGACCUUCGGGCCUCUCACUAUCGGAUGAACCCAGAUGGGAUUAGCUAGUAGGCGGGGUAAUGGCCCACCUAGGCGACGAUCCCUAGCUGGUCUGAGAGGAUGACCAGCCACACUGGAACUGAGACACGGUCCAGACUCCUACGGGAGGCAGCAGUGGGGAAUAUUGCACAAUGGGCGCAAGCCUGAUGCAGCCAUGCCGCGUGUAUGAAGAAGGCCUUCGGGUUGUAAAGUACUUUCAGCGGGGAGGAAGGCGAUGCGGUUAAUAACCCUGUCGAUUGACGUUACCCGCAGAAAAAGCACCGGCUAACUCCGUGCCAGCAGCCGCGGUAAUACGGAGGGUGCAAGCGUUAAUCGGAAUUACUGGGCGUAAAGCGCACGCAGGCGGUCUGUUAAGUCAGAUGUGAAAUCCCCGGGCUUAACCUGGGAACUGCAUUUGAAACUGGCAGGCUUGAGUCUUGUAUAGGGGGGUAGAAUUCCCGGUGUAGCGGUGAAAUGCGUAGAGAUCUGGAGGAAUACCGGUGGCGAAGGC